AUUCAGCUGAUGAGUCCCAAAUACGACGAAACGCGCUUCCUGGAU
rnacentral:hammerhead_ribozyme from 1 species